rnacentral:lncRNA from 1 species
UAAUCAGCCAAACAAGAAUUAUAAAUUCAAACGAGGAGUGAAUCACCAAACUAAACAUAUCAUAAAUUAAAUUGGAAAGAAUUUAUCUUGUGUUGGGCAGCGAACUAAGACUUCCUCAUCAAAGAUCGAAACUUGAACUCAAACUCAAAAGAGCAAAAGAAAUUUGGAAACGAGAGUAUAUAUUUGUCGACGUUUGGUGCUAAUGUUAGAUAAUUCUUUUUUGGUGGUUAUUUCUUUUGCUUGAUUUUUUUCACUCCACAAAAAUGGUAGCCCAAAGGCUCCUUCAUAGACAAAGCUGAAGGGGUGUUGUAACAGCUCUAUAGAGGCUCCAAGAAUUCAAAUUUAGAAUUCUUUAAAAGCCCAAAUCUUAGAGAGAAACACAGAGACCCAAUUAGAAGAAAACAAAGUUUGAAAUUUAGAUUGAUGUGUAGGAGAAAAGAGUUGUUUAAAGGCAUUCACUUUCAGAACCAUAAAAUUAAGGAAGUAAUAAUCCCAAAUCCUACAAUCCUUCAUACUUUUUACCUCUACAGCGGUAGCAGUGUGGCGGUGAAAAUCUCUUUGGGGUCAGAUUGAAUAGAAAAUAUUGUUGAAAUGAUGUAAAGUUGAUUGAAGAACUAUGGGAUUGAUGGAUGUGGGAGAAAAAGUGAAGGGGGAAGGUUGAGGACCAUCGAAAUUGCUAUUAUCCGAUGGUCCAAAGGAGAAAUAGAGUUACAGUAAGAAAAAGAGAGGUUAUUUAUGUUCUGAUUGAGUUUCAACCAUGGAGAAAAAAAGGGAUUUAGAUGAUUGGUUUGGUCAGGAUUAUUUUUAGCUAGG